AGAGUUUGAUCCUGGCUCAGGAUGAAUGCUAGCGGUGUGCCUGAGAUAUGCAAGUCGAGCGCUUCUUUGACCGCAAGGUUGAAGAGGAGCGGCGGACGGCUGAGUAAUAUAUAGGAAUCUGCCCCUUAGUGGAACAUAGCUCCGAGAAAUCGGGGGUAAUUUUCCAUAGUAUCUCGCUCUGCGAGAUUGAAAGCCUUUACCGGUUGCUAAGGGAUGAGCCUGUAUCCUAUCAGGUUGUUGGUAGAGUAAUAGCCUACCAAGCCUAUGACGGGUAGCUGAUCUGGGAGGAUGAUCAGCCAGAGGGGGACUGAGACACGGCCCCCACUCCUACGGGAGGCAGCAAUCAGGAAUAGUCGGCAAUGGGCGAAAGCCUGACCGCGCGACACCGCGUGUAGGAUUAAGGUAUUAUUUAUCGUAAACUACUGUUGGAGGGGAAGAAGAUCGUCGUAAGACGGUUUGACGGUACCCUCCGAGAAAGGAGCCGCUAACUGCGUGCCAGAAGCGUCGGUAAUACGUGGGCUUCAAGCAUUAUCCGGUUUUAUUGGGCGUAAAGGGUCGUGUAGGCGGUUUGAUAAGGUAUCUUUGAAAGCUCGAUGCUCAACAUCGAGUUGGGGAUACAACUGUCAUGACUAGAAUUUCUUUAAGGGUAAUCGGAACUCAAAGAGGAGUAGUGAAAUGCGUUGAUACUUUGGGGAACACCAAUGGCGAAGGCAGAUUACUGGAAGGAAAUUGACGCUGAGACACGAAAGCUAGGGGAGCGAAGCAGAUUAGAGACCUGCGUAGUCCUAGCCGUAAACGAAUGUCUGCUACCUGCAUUUUCAUUGUGCCGUAAGGUACGAUAAGGUGUGGGAAAGGUAACCCGUUAAGCAGAUCGCCUGGGGAGUACUGCCGCAAGGUUAAAACUCAAAGGAAUUGGCGGGGAGGCACACAACCAGUGGAACAUGUGGUUCAAUUUGAUACAAACCAAAGAACCUCACCAAGUCUUGACAUGCUAGCGUCCAGUUUCCUGGAAACAGGGAAUGUUCGCAAGAAGGCUAGCACAGGUGCUGCAUGGCUGUCGUCAGCUCGUUCCGUGAGGAGUGCCCUUAAGUGGGACAACGA
rnacentral:rRNA from 1 species